rnacentral:lncRNA from 1 species
UCUCUUUUUUAAAUUCCAACCAAACAAGAAGCUCCCUUCCCACUUUUUAGAAAUUGCCUUUUUCUCCUUUCACUUCUCGUGAAUCAAAUGAGUCCAUAGAUGUUAUAAUUAUAAAACCAACUAGGAUAGUUUGUAGUGCAUGCAGAAUUCGUAUAUUCUUGAAUGAUCGAGAAUAGACAUCCAUCAAAUAAUACUCAUCAAUAUAUGAUAGCAUAUACUCAUGAAUUGUCAUAUUUGAUGAGUGUUGCAGGAGAUUCUUAACUUUGAUCGGAGCGACUGGAGGCAGUCGGAGAUGGUUAGUGCGGCGAGAUCUGCAAAAUAACUCCCGAUCAGAGUUGGCUCUAAUAGGGAUCCUCUGACAGCUAAGUCAGAAAAAUAUAACAGAUGAGAAGGAGAGCAGGAGGGAUAGAGGGCACACGUAUGUACGUACUUGAAGGACUCCUUUUUACCUCUAUUUAUAAGGAGACAAGAGCCAUAAUAGGAAAACUGAUGGGAGACCAUUCUGGCCUCUUCGUCCGUACCAUCC